AGAUGUUGCAUGACAUUUGCUCAAAAGGUGCAAUUGCAUCACUACCAGAUGGACCUGCGUUGUAUUAGCUAGUUGGUGAGGUAACGGCUCACCAAGGCAACGAUACAUAGCCGACCUGAGAGGGUGAUCGGCCACACUGGGACUGAGACACGGCCCAGACUCCUACGGGAGGCAGCAGUAGGGAAUCUUCGGCAAUGGACGGAAGUCUGACCGAGCAACGCCGCGUGAGUGAAGAAGGUUUUCGGAUCGUAAAGCUCUGUUGUAAGAGAAGAACGAGUGUGAGAGUGGAAAGUUCACACUGUGACGUAU
rnacentral:rRNA from 1 species